CGAUGAACCACUUCGGUGGGGAUUAGUGGCGAACGGGUGAGUAACACGUGGGCAAUCUGCCCUUCACUCUGGGACAAGCCCUGGAAACGGGGUCUAAUACCGGAUACCACUCUCGCAGGCAUCUGUGAGGGUUGAAAGCUCCGGCGGUGAAGGAUGAGCCCGCGGCCUAUCAGCUUGUUGGUGAGGUAACGGCUCACCAAGGCGACGACGGGUAGCCGGCCUGAGAGGGCGACCGGCCACACUGGGACUGAGACACGGCCCAGACUCCUACGGGAGGCAGCAGUGGGGAAUAUUGCACAAUGGGCGAAAGCCUGAUGCAGCGACGCCGCGUGAGGGAUGACGGCCUUCGGGUUGUAAACCUCUUUCAGCAGGGAAGAAGCGAAAGUGACGGUACCUGCAGAAGAAGCGCCGGCUAACUACGUGCCAGCAGCCGCGGUAAUACGUAGGGCGCAAGCGUUGUCCGGAAUUAUUGGGCGUAAAGAGCUCGUAGGCGGCUUGUCACGUCGGGUGUGAAAGCCCGGGGCUUAACCCCGGGUCUGCAUUCGAUACGGGCUAGCUAGAGUGUGGUAGGGGAGAUCGGAAUUCCUGGUGUAGCGGUGAAAUGCGCAGAUAUCAGGAGGAACACCGGUGGCGAAGGCGGAUCUCUGGGCCAUUACUGACGCUGAGGAGCGAAAGCGUGGGGAGCGAACAGGAUUAGAUACCCUGGUAGUCCACGCCGUAAACGGUGGGAACUAGGUGUUGGCGACAUUCCACGUCGUCGGUGCCGCAGCUAACGCAUUAAGUUCCCCGCCUGGGGAGUACGGCCGCAAGGCUAAAACUCAAAGGAAUUGACGGGGGCCCGCACAAGCAGCGGAGCAUGUGGCUUAAUUCGACGCAACGCGAAGAACCUUACCAAGGCUUGACAUACACCGGAAACGUCGGAGACAGGCGCCCCCUUGUGGUCGGUGUACAGGUGGUGCAUGGCGUCGUCAGCUCGUGUCUGAGAUGUUGGGUUAAGUCCCGCAACGAGCGCAACCCUUGUUCUGUGUUGCCAGCAUGCCCUUCGGGGUGAUGGGGACUCACAGGAGACCGCCGGGGUCAACUCGGAGGAAGGUGGGGACGACGUCAAGUCAUCAUGCCCCUUAUGUCUUGGGCUGCACACGUGCUACAAUGGCC
rnacentral:rRNA from 1 species